CAGCGUUCGCGGGUCAGCGUCAGGCAGAUCAGACCACGGCCAUACUUGGCCAUGAAGUUGAUGGCUUCGGGUGUGACAUGCUCGGCCGCCAAAAC
rnacentral:antisense_RNA from 1 species